CUGGCAGAACCUUCACUUGGAGCUAUGAAGACCCACAGCAAGGACCUGAAGGAAGAGAAACCGCUGAUGCAGGAGAAACUGGAGAGGUCUGAAGCUAAGGAACCGAAAGAGCAUCAUAUCCAGAAGGAGUGUUUUGCUGCGUCAUUGAAGAGUGCCCCAAAGGAGAAGGAAAUAACAACUUCCAGGAACCUGCAAGGCCUUCCUCCUUCAUGCAACGUGUCUUUACCUGCAGCUAUCGGCCAGCUGCGAGAACGCCUUCAUUGGUAAGACAGUGGAGCAAAGCUUCACUUUUUGUGAUUGUGUAAAAACAACGGGACUUACUUGUAUCCCAGUGAGAUACUACUACAUGAUUUUCAAAGAUGCUUUUAUUUUAGAUGAGGUUCUUUCACACUGUUCCUUUGGGAUUUGUGCUCUUGUGGACUUCUGUCAUAAGGCCUGUACUUCUUUUUCAGUCUCGAAGUUGAGUACGCCAGGCUGGAAGCCACAGUCCAGCAACAAGCCCAAACCAUUGAAAUGAUUGAGAAGUUCAGGCAAGCCCAAAAGACAUGCAAGUGCUCCAUCAUUCACAGAGAAGCGAGGCCCAAGCUGCCAUAAGAAAGACAGCCAUCUCUCUGUGGCAGUAACUGUGGUUUAAACAUGCUUCAAAAUGGC